UGUAACUUCCUGGAGACAGCUAAAACUGCGGUCACCUCUUCCAGGAAAAACUAUAACGAACUUGGUCCUGGGGAAAUUUGCACCCAAGACAAGGGUUUUACUUAGAUGGAUUUUCCUGUUGUGCUUUCUUUAAAAAUCUGUUUGCCCUUUGCUAAUGUAGAUCCCUGCAGGCGGCUCACAGAAGCCCAGGGCCUGCAGGCUGCCGGCCGCCUCAUCGGACCCGUGCAAGUAGAUUACAGCUGGGGUUUUGUGAAGAUUGACAGAGGCAAACUGAAGAGUGUGGUGAUGCGUGGGAAACUACAGGUUUCCUGCUGCCUCCGGUGUUUGCCGGAGCCCAUUCUGAGAUGGCAAGCCUGCCUGUGAGCGUGAGCGGAGUCGUAGAGCUGGACAGCCCGCCAGCUCCCCCGUCACCAUUCUCUGUGUCACGUCAGGGACCUCAGUGACCCAGUCAGAGUUGUCAGCGUGGGGUUGGGGUCCUGUGGGUCCCAGCUACCCUCACUGGUGUCUCCCAGUCUGUAAGGUGGUGGGAACAACGCUUGAAUGUGCCUCCAGUCCACUGUGGGGUGAAUAAAAUACUGUCCGCAGGAUACUUACUAAACGGCUUACUGUUUUUAUAGUCACGUCCUCAGGGCUUCUAGAUACACGGGGUCUUUGUUCCUGCACUUGCAUCUUUGAGCCUCUGUGUGUGUUGUGCUGACACCCGACUGUCAGCCUUGCCUUGGCAUCAGGUCGCCCUCCUGGGCCUUUCUGCGGCUUUGAAUCAGCAGUCAGCUAGGAAAGCACAUAAUAGAACUUGUUAGCAGGGUCUAAAAUUAAAGCACUUUUCUUUUAUAGGGGCUGAGAGUCUUUGUAAUCUCAAUUGAUGUGAGAUUUUUUAUUUUUGUCACUAUGGGGCUUGAAAAAAACGUAGAAGUCAAUGUGGAUAUGCUUAUUCUUUCAAGCAGCACAGGCGUAUAAAAUCUAAGAAAGAAUCGGGUCCCGCCCUUCCUCCCCUCCCAGUAAU